CCUGAGGAGACCGUCACUUGAGUUCCUUUCCCCCAGUAAUCAAAGUACCUCACUGUGCCUGUCGAGCGCAGUAGUAAACAGCAGUGUCCUCUGCUCUCAGACUCUUGGCCUCUAAGUACUAUGUCCUGGUGGAGACGUCCUCAGUCAGGGUGAACUGGC